rnacentral:rRNA from 1 species
UACGUAGGGUGCGAGCGUUGUCCGGAAUUAUUGGGCGUAAAGAGCUCGUAGGCGGCCUGUCGCGUCGGAUGUGAAAGCCCCGGGGCUUAACCCCGGGUCUGCAUUCGAUACGGGCAGGCUAGAGUGUGGUAGGGGAGAUCGGAAUUCCUGGUGUAGCGGUGAAAUGCGCAGAUAUCAGGAGGAACACCGGCGGCGAAGGCGGAUCUCUGGGCCAUUACUGACGCUGAGGAGCGAAAGCGUGGGGAGCAAACAGG